AUUGAACGCUGGCGGAAUGCUUUACACAUGCAAGUCGAACGGCAGCACGGGGGCAGCCCUGGUGGCGAGUGGCGAACGGGUGAGUAAUACAUCGGAACGUGCCCGGCCGUGGGGGAUAACGUAGCGAAAGUUACGCUAAUACCGCAUACGAUCUGAGGAUGAAAGCGGGGGACCUUCGGGCCUCGCGCGAUCGGAGCGGCCGAUGUCAGGUUAGGUAGUUGGUGGGGUAAAGGCCUACCAAGCCGACGAUCUGUAGCUGGUCUGAGAGGACGACCAGCCACACUGGGACUGAGACACGGCCCAGACUCCUACGGGAGGCAGCAGUGGGGAAUUUUGGACAAUGGGCGCAAGCCUGAUCCAGCCAUUCCGCGUGCAGGACGAAGGCCUUCGGGUUGUAAACUGCUUUUGUACGGAACGAAAAGGCUCUGGCUAAUACCUGGGGCUCAUGACGGUACCGUAAGAAUAAGCACCGGCUAACUACGUG
rnacentral:rRNA from 1 species